UACGUAGGGUGCAAGCGUUGUCCGGAAUUAUUGGGUGUAAAGAGCUCGUAGGCGGUUUGUCGCGUCUGCUGUGAAAACCCGAGGCUCAACCUCGGGCCUGCAGUGGGUACGGGCAGACUAGAGUGUGGUAGGGGAGACUGGAAUUCCUGGUGUAGCGGUGAAAUGCGCAGAUAUCAGGAGGAACACCGAUGGCGAAGGCAGGUCUCUGGGCAUUAACUGACGCUGAGGAGCGAAAGCGUGGGGAGCGAACAGG
rnacentral:rRNA from 1 species